CCUACGGGAGGCUGCAGUGGGGAAUAUUGCACAAUGGGGGAAACCCUGAUGCAGCGACGCCGCGUGAGUGAAGAAGUAUUUCGGUAUGUAAAGCUCUAUCAGCAGGGAAGAAGAAAGACGGUACCUGACUAAGAAGCCCCGGCUAACUACGUGCCAGCAGCCGCGGUAAUACGUAGGGGGCAAGCGUUAUCCGGAUUUACUGGGUGGAAAGGGAGCGUAGACGGCUGUGCAAGUCUGAAGUGAAAGCCCAGGGCUCAACCCUGGGACUGCUUUGGAAACUGUGGAGCUAGAGUGCUGGAGAGUUAAGUGGAAUUCCUAGUGUAGCGGUGAAAUGCGUAGAUAUUAGGAGGAACACCAGUGGCGAAGGCGGCUUACUGGACAGUAACUGACGUUGAGGCUCGAAAGCGUGGGGAGCAAACAGGAUUAGAUACCCCAGUAGUC
rnacentral:rRNA from 1 species